rnacentral:tRNA from 4 species
GCCCAGGUGGCGGAAUUGGUAGACGCACUACCUUGAGGUGGUAGCGGCGAAAGCUGUGGGGGUUCGAGUCCCCCCUUGGGCACCA